rnacentral:lncRNA from 1 species
UAUCAAUCAUGAUUGCGUAAGGAAGUAUCAAACAACAUAAACACAUCCUAUGUUAUUACAACAUUCACAUUAGAUUCAUUUACUUACAUCACACUUUAUAUAUUACAUUCAACUUCCAAAUACAAUCUAAGCUAUUACAAGUUUAAUUUAUUCCUUUCAUUUUCUAUACCCCUAAGCCACGUCGACGGGGUACUGCUAGCUCUGGUCUCUGGGGGUAGGGCGCUAUCUAUGGAGCUACGCCCUUGCCUCGCGCCACCGCGCCGCUCACGUGCGAACCUGUAAAACCCCAAAACAACG